GGCGUAGGGUGCAAGCGUUGUCCGGAUUUAUUGGGCGUAAAGCGCGUGUAGGCGGCCUGGUAAGUCUGCUGUGAAAACUCGAGGCUUAACCUCGGGCUGUCGGCGGAAACCAUCUGGCUAGAGUCCGGAAGAGGAGAAUGGAAUUCCCGGUGUAGCGGUGAAAUGCGCAGAUAUCGGGAAGAACACCCGUGGCGAAGGCGGUUCUCUGGACAGUUCCUGACGCUGAGGCACGAAGGUCAGGGGAGCAAACGGG
rnacentral:rRNA from 1 species